CCUGAUACCGGUACCUAACUAACCCCACCUGAUAACCGGGUUAGGCGAGUUACUGUAUGAGGUAUUUUGAAGCUUUACAACACCAUAUACUAACUAAAGAUGAUAAAGUUUUGGUGUAUCAGUAAAUGAGACUAUGGGGCGAGAAAAGGCCCUACUUAUAGGCAUGAACGGUGCAGCCUUCCAUCUACCCCUUUCGCACACAUAGUUCCGGAAGAAUAUCUCACAACAUGUUUACCCCGAGAAGCUAAGGAGAUGAAGACAUGAAAUUAACAUAAGUAAAUUGCAAGAAAAAGUGCAUGCGGAGCUUGCGUUUGUUCAUUAGGUGUCUUACCCCAGGGAACUUUAAGUGGAAAGGAAAUCCCAAUAUUACCUGUAUACUACCGCAAAGUCGAACAUGUGCCCGGGCCUGCCAUUGAGUUUCUGAAAAUUUACAUCAGCUGUGGCGAACUUGAAGACAGAUAACCCCGUACUAUCUUAUUUUACUUUAAGCCUGAAACAAGAACCCAUUGCUCCUGUGAGGCUGCCUUAGAAAUUAAAUCAUCAGAAGCCGGCUAUUUGCUGGAUUUUCUUUACCACUUGCUGUAAGA
rnacentral:lncRNA from 1 species